rnacentral:pre_miRNA from 1 species
GGGGAGGUUGAACAUCCUGCAUAGUGCUGCCAGGAAAUCCCUAUGUCAUACUAAGAAGGGGCUGGCUGGUUGCAUAUGUAGGAUGUCCCAUCUCCUGGCCCACUACGUCA